rnacentral:rRNA from 1 species
AUUGAACGCUGGCGGCAUGCCUUACACAUGCAAGUCGAACGGUAACGGGCCUUCGGGUGCCGACGAGUGGCGAACGGGUGAGUAAUACAUCGGAACGUGCCCGAUCGUGGGGGAUAACGAGGCGAAAGCUUUGCUAAUACCGCAUACGAUCUACGGAUGAAAGCAGGGGACCGCAAGGCCUUGCGCGGACGGAGCGGCCGAUGGCAGAUUAGGUAGUUGGUGGGAUAAAAGCUUACCAAGCCGACGAUCUGUAGCUGGUCUGAGAGGAUGAUCAGCCACACUGGGACUGAGACACGGCCCAGACUCCUACGGGGGGCAGCAGUGGGGAAUUUUGGACAAUGGGCGCAAGCCUGAUCCAGCCAUGCCGCGUGCAGGAUGAAGGCCUUCGGGUUGUAAACUGCUUUUGUACGGAACGAAAAGCCUUCUUUUAAUACAGGAGGGUCAUGACGGUACCGUAAGAAUAAGCACCGGCUAACUACGUG